rnacentral:misc_RNA from 1 species
GGUCCACCAGAGAUAACUUCACCAAAGCGCAAGAAGGGUACAACAAGACUCAACUCUAUGGGUGUUGCCACGAAAUUAGCUAACAUUACAGUUGGAGCAUGGCACAGAGACCCAAGGCAAUGCAAUAGCCAUUCCACAUAGCAGAACAGUGACUCCACAUAUUGGAAAUAUUCCCAGAGUAAUCCCAAGAGCUGCAGAGAAUGCCAGUUGCUUUGGCUCC